GUGCAUGUCCUCAUUCUCAGCAGGCCAGAACAAGGGUGUGCCCAGAGUCCCUGGCAAGGGAUGAGCGCAGCGCCGCAGUAUUGCUGAUAUUGUGCCUUUCAGGGCGUGAAGGAGUUAAACUUUUCAGAUGGAAAGCGAGCUGAAGAUCAGACCAGCAGCCUGGUGACCUCCCGCUGCUGGGACAGCAGCAGCUCCCAGCCAAGGCCGGCAGUUCCAUCCAUCCAUCCAUCGGCGCGGUGGGGCCGCGGGGAGCAGCGGACGCUCGAAACCACAUCUGGCUUCGACUUUCUCAGCAGCAGAUCAGGAUCCCGAGGCCCUUUGCUACAAGACACCUGCACCUUUCAGUGUGGCAGCCUUGAUGUAAAUAGGUAACACACUUUGCUUGAAUCAGUGGAGCAGCUCCUGGAAGCAAAG